rnacentral:misc_RNA from 1 species
GAUGAAGAACGUAGCGAAAUGGGAUACUUGGUGUGAAUUGCAGAAUCCCGUGAACCAUCGAGUCUUUGAACGCAAGUUGCGCCCGAAGCCACUAGGCCGAGGGCACGCCUGCCUGGGCGUCACACGCCGUUGCCCCCCCAUCUACUCCUUCGGGAUUGCGGGGGGGCGGAUGAUGGCCUCCCGUGCGCCUAGCCGCGCGGUUGGCAUAAAUACCAAGUCCUCGGCGACGCACGCCACGACAAUCGGUGGUUGCGAAACCUCGGUUGCCCGUCGUGUGCGUUCGUCGCGCAUCGAGGGCUCGAAAAAAUGCUCGGCUCCGGCUGGGCUUUCAACGCGACCCCAGGUCAGGCGGGGUUACCCGCUGAAUUUAAGCAUAUCAAUAAGCGGAGGA